GUGGCUCAAGUCUGUAAUCCCAGCACUUUGGGAGGCCAAGGGGCAAAGAUCACUUGAGGCCAGCAGUUCGAGACUAGCCUGAACAACACAGUGAGACUCCCAUAUCGACAUUAGUUAAAAAAUAAUUUUUAAAACAUAAAAAAUUACAAAAAUGUGUUCUGAAGCAAUUAGCAAAGAAUUGAUUCAUUUUGCUGGAGGAAUCAGCAAUUGGAAUGAAUUCUAUUUGCCUUGAGCAUAUAGGGAUAAACCUGCCUAACACUGGUGAGCAGAGCAAUGGCCUGAGACCAGAAGUCCUAGAAUUCCUCCCAGCCCUCUAUCCAAAAGAAAGACAGAGUCCUGGGCUC
rnacentral:lncRNA from 1 species